rnacentral:lncRNA from 1 species
GGCCAGCUUCUGGUCAAAAGACAUUUAGUAUAAUGUUAAGUUUUUAACUUUGUGGGGUUUUUUUAUACAUUAUAACUGUAUUCUUAAUUCACUUCUGACAAGAUAAAUAAAGAAAUAAAUAAAGGAAGAAAGAAAGAACAUUCACAUUUUGGAAAAACUAGAAACUCCCGAUGAACCUUUUGAAACAGAAAUAUGGUGAUAUGAUUACUAUUAUCAAUAAGCACGAUGCAAUAUAUAGAAGAGUGACUUGAAGUUGAGAGAGGUAGAAGUUUACAAUUAUGCCUACAGAAAGGAUAGUUGGAGGUCAUUUAAUUUUUUAUUCUGUUACAGUGUUUAAUAUAUAUUUAGGUAGUGUAGAUAUGUGUUUAAGUUGGAGGUCAUUUAAUUUUUUAUUCUGUUACAGUGUUUAAUAUAUAUUUAGGUAGUGUAGAUAUGUGUUUAAGCAUUCUUUUAUUGUGUUUCUUUCCUCCAUAGUGUAUAGCAUAUUUGUAUGGUAGAUCUUGUAUAAUUUUUAUUGUAUGUAGAAUUGUAUUCAAUACAGAUAUUUAUUUAAAGCAACUUAGCAGUUGAAAAAAACUACUGUCCGAACUCACUUUCCCACUACAUCAAGCAUACAUGUGAAUGCAAUAAAACAGUGAAUACUGGCCAGUCGCACAAAUUUGUGAGAAUUACUGGGAUCAUUCAGUCAACACUCAGGAAUAAAAUGUGACAAAGGAAGAGUGGGGAAAAAAUAAGCACCAGUGAGUCUUUUUUAUUGCUGGAAGGGAGCAUCUUAUAGAUGCCUGUUGAAAGAUGGUACUUCUGCCAAUGUUUUAUACAGAUAAUUGUUCAGUCUCCUUAGCCUUCUCAAUAUAAAUCAAUGGCUGUUUGGAAGGACAGUCCUUUUGCUUGUUUGGCCUUUUCCUUUAAAAAUCAUUACAUAAACAACCUCUCACUUUGGGCUGAAUUAAUGCAUCUCAAGGACCAUUCCGAAAUCUAAAGUAUCCCUAUGGCUUUUGGCAUGGUUGGGUUUUUUAAAAGUUGUUUCCCAGCAAUCCUUUGCUAUUG